AACGCACAUUGCGCCCCUUGGUAUUCCAUUGGGCAUGCCUGUUCGAGCGUCAUUUACUCCCUCAAGCUACGCUUGGUGUUGGGCGUCUGUCCUUGCUUCCAGCGAGGACUCGCCCUAAAUCUAUUGGCAGCGGUAUCGCCGGCUUCUCGCGCAGCACAUUGCGCUUUGGAAGGCUCCCGGCGGGCUCGCGUCCAGCAAGAACCCCCCAGUUUGACCUCGAAUCAGGUAGGGAUACCCGCUGAACUUAA
rnacentral:misc_RNA from 1 species